AAAGCAGGUCAUAGUGAUCCGGUGGUUCUGAAUGGAAGGGCCAUCGCUCAACGGAUAAAAGGUACUCCGGGGAUAACAGGCUGAUACCGCCCAAGAGUUCAUAUCGACGGCGGUGUUUGGCACCUCGAUGUCGGCUCAUCACAUCCUGGGGCUGAAGUAGGUCCCAAGGGUAUGGCUGUUCGCCAUUUAAAGUGGUACGCGAGCUGGGUUUAGAACGUCGUGAGACAGUUCGGUCCCUAUCUGCCGUGGGCGCUGGAGAACUGAGGGGGGCUGCUCCUAGUACGAGAGGACCGGAGUGGACGCAUCACUGGUGUUCGGGUUGUCAUGCCAAUGGCACUGCCCGGUAGCUAAAUGCGGAAGAGAUAAGUGCUGAAAGCAUCUAAGCACGAAACUUGCCCCGAGAUGAGUUCUCCCUGAGACUUAAAGUCUCCUGAAGGAACGUUGAAGACGACGACGUUGAUAGGCCGGGUGUGUAAGCGCAGCGAUGCGUUGAGCUAACCGGUACUAAUGAACCGUGAGGCUUAACCUU
rnacentral:rRNA from 1 species